CCUGAAGGGUACUGAACACAGCCCAAGCCUGGCCAGCGUUCACUCCCACAGCACUGCCGCCACCCCCUAACAGAGCCAGAAGUCAGAUGGCUGAAACUCCAGUGUGAAGCUCCUGAACACUGUUUCUCCUCAUGACAACUCUGAUACAAGUACAGGGUGUUAUAGAAGGGGCUAGUCACAGUUUUAAUCCAUGGAAUUUGAAUAGGAAAGAUUUGGAUCUUCUUAAAGUACAGAUAAAAAGAAAAGUGAUGGGAUGCGUACCAUACUCACAUUACAACGUGACGUUAUCCUCACAUAAAGG